AUGGUAUUCAAAAACGCAUUGAACUGCAAACCGACCAAAUCUAAACAUCAUUAAGAAUGAAACCAACAUCACUGGUAUAAAUUUACUGACAAAAUUUUAGAAUUUCAACGCCUAAAAGUUCUUAAAAUAUUGUAAUUCUAAUAGAAAAAUACACAAAAUUCUUUGGAAGGAUUCAAGUGCAUGCAUACCAUGUUUUCCUUUAUGGCCAAAAACCAAAAUGAACACACUCUUACUAUUUUCAAUAAAUUUGUGUUUACUUAACAGUGAUUAUUUAACAUUAGAUUAACUCAGGAGACUUCAGUUGGUGUAGAUUGUACUUACCCAUCCUGCAUUGGUAUGAACAA
rnacentral:misc_RNA from 1 species